GUCGAACGAACUCUGGUAUUGAUUGGUGCUUGCAUCAUGAUUUACAUUUGAGUGAGUGGCGAACUGGUGAGUAACACGUGGGAAACCUGCCCAGAAGCGGGGGAUAACACCUGGAAACAGAUGCUAAUACCGCAUAACAACUUGGACCGCAUGGUCCGAGUUUGAAAGAUGGCUUCGGCUAUCACUUUUGGAUGGUCCCGCGGCGUAUUAGCUAGAUGGUGGGGUAACGGCUCACCAUGGCAAUGAUACGUAGCCGACCUGAGAGGGUAAUCGGCCACAUUGGGACUGAGACACGGCCCAAACUCCUACGGGAGGCAGCAGUAGGGAAUCUUCCACAAUGGACGAAAGUCUGAUGGAGCAACGCCGCGUGAGUGAAGAAGGGUUUCGGCUCGUAAAACUCUGUUGUUAAAGAAGAACAUAUCUGAGAGUAACUGUUCAGGUAUUGACGGUAUUUAACCAGAAAGCCACGGCUAACUACGUGCCAGCAGCCGCGGUAAUACGUAGGUGGCAAGCGUUGUCCGGAUUUAUUGGGCGUAAAGCGAGCGCAGGCGGUUUUUUAAGUCUGAUGUGAAAGCCUUCGGCUCAACCGAAGAAGUGCAUCGGAAACUGGGAAACUUGAGUGCAGAAGAGGACAGUGGAACUCCAUGUGUAGCGGUGAAAUGCGUAGAUAUAUGGAAGAACACCAGUGGCGAAGGCGGCUGUCUGGUCUGUAACUGACGCUGAGGCUCGAAAGUAUGGGUAGCAAACAGGAUUAGAUACCCUGGUAGUCCAUACCGUAAACGAUGAAUGCUAAGUGUUGGAGGGUUUCCGCCCUUCAGUGCUGCAGCUAACGCAUUAAGCAUUCCGCCUGGGGAGUACGGCCGCAAGGCUGAAACUCAAAGGAAUUGACGGGGGCCCGCACAAGCGGUGGAGCAUGUGGUUUAAUUCGAAGCUACGCGAAGAACCUUACCAGGUCUUGACAUACUAUGCAAUCUAAGAGAUUAGACGUUCCCUUCGGGGACAUGGAUACAGGUGGUGCAUGGUUGUCGUCAGCUCGUGUCGUGAGAUGUGGAUAAGUCCCCGCAACGAGCGCACCUCUUAUUAUCAGUUGCCAGCAUUAAGUUGGGCACUCUGGUGAGACUGCCGGUGACAAACCGGAGGAAGGUGGGGAUGACGUCAAAUCAUCAUGCCCCUUAUGACCUGGGCUACACACGUGCUACAAUGGAUGGUACAACGAGUUGCGAACUCGCGAGAGUAAGCUAAUCUCUUAAAGCCAUUCUCAGUUCGGAUUGUAGGCUGCAACUCGCCUACAUGAAGUCGGAAUCGCUAGUAAUCGCGGAUCAGCAUGCCGCGGUGAAUACGUUCCCGGGCCUUGUACACACCGCCCGUCACACCAUGAGAGUUUGUAACACCCAAAGUCGGUGGGGUAACCUUUUAGGAA
rnacentral:rRNA from 1 species